rnacentral:rRNA from 1 species
AACGAACGCUGGCGGCAGGCUUAACACAUGCAAGUCGAACGCCCCGCAAGGGGAGUGGCAGACGGGUGAGUAACGCGUGGGAAUCUACCCAUCUCUGCGGAAUAGCUCCGGGAAACUGGAAUUAAUACCGCAUACGCCCUACGGGGGAAAGAUUUAUCGGGGAUGGAUGAGCCCGCGUUGGAUUAGCUAGUUGGUGGGGUAAAGGCCUACCAAGGCGACGAUCCAUAGCUGGUCUGAGAGGAUGAUCAGCCACAUUGGGCCUGAGACACGGACCAAACGCCUACGGGAGGCAGCGGUUGGGAAUAUUAGACAAUGGGAGCAAGCCUGAUCCAGCCAUGCAGCGUGAGUGAUGAAGGCCGUAGGGUUGUAAAGCUCUUUCACCGGUGAAGAUAAUGACGGUAACCGGAGAAGAAGCCCCGGCUAACUUCGUGCCAGCAGCCGCGGUAAGAC